rnacentral:rRNA from 1 species
CCUACGGGAGGCAGCAGUAGGGAAUCUUCCGCAAUGGACGAAAGUCUGACGGAGCAACGCCGCGUGAGUGAUGAAGGCUUUCGGGUCGUAAAACUCUGUUGUUAGGGAAGAACAAGUACGAGAGUAACUGCUGUACCUUGACGGUACCUAACCAGAAAGCCACGGCUAACUACGUGCCAGCAGCCGCGGUAAUACGUAGGUGGCAAGCGUUAUCCGGAAUUAUUGGGCGUAAAGCGCGCGCAGGCGGUUUCUUAAGUCUGAUGUGAAAGCCCACGGCUCAACCGUGGAGGGUCAUUGGAAACUGGGGAACUUGAGUGCAGAAGAGAAAAGCGGAAUUCCACGUGUAGCGGUGAAAUGCGUAGAGAUGUGGAGGAACACCAGUGGCGAAGGCGGCUUUUUGGUCUGUAACUGACGCUGAGGCGCGAAAGCGUGGGGAGCAACAGGAUUAGAUACCCUGGUAGUCCACGCCGUAAACGAUGAGUGCUAAGUGUUAGAGGGUUUCCGCCCUUUAGUGCUGCAGCUAACGCAUUAAGCACUCCGCCUGGGGAGUACGGUCGCAAGACUGAAACUCAAAGGAAUUGACGGGGGCCCGCACAAGCGGUGGAGCAUGUGGUUUAAUUCGAAGCAACGCGAAGAACCUUAC